AGGAAGUUGAGACUCAUGGUCUGAUAAAGGAUGCUGAUAAGUGUGAAGAUGCUGAGGAGUUCACAUCAUUAGGUGAUUUGUCUCAAGAGUCGAAACAAUAUCAAAUGACCCCUGCUCAAUCACAUGCCAGUAGCAGCGCCGGAUUAUCAAAGCAAACAAUUGGAUUGGAAUCUUCUCAAUGUGCAUCGCAAGAAGAAACAGUAUCCGGGAAGUUAACUAACAAAGAUUUAGGACUUCACAAAUUGAUAUUUGAGAGUGGCCGCUAUGAGAACAUUCCAGUGGUAUACCGGAUAAAUAAAG